rnacentral:lncRNA from 1 species
CCAGUGAUGGUGCAGAUGGAAGAAGUGCUGAACACAGGGCACCCCUGGGGUCCUUCCACCCAGGGCCCGGCGCUUGGCCCUGUGCUUGCAGAUCUGCGGCAGGCAGAGCUGAGAGCAGGCAAAGACAAGUCACCACUGUGCUUGGGCAUCCUGCCCACCAGCCCCACCGGGCAGCCAGAGCUCCACAUGGUUUCCAUCAUGGUUACAAAAUAAACAAAUGCAAGUCACUCUGUCCCUUCUGUGGCCCCCCACAGCCCGACAUCUGCACAUCUGCGAGAACAUUCUCUCGUCAUUAGAGAGAUGCCACUUGGGGAUCUCAGAAGCCAUGUGGGGAAGACAGAAACCUUCAGCUCUAGUUCAGGAACAUUAAACACACCAUGCUAUCCCAGUUUGUUCAUAAAAUUCUUGUGUUAAUGUCCUAGGGGAAACAAAAAGGAUAGCUAUUUUAGCAGCAUUCUCUAGUUUGGUUGGGAUUCUGUGUGGAGAAGAGCUCUGUUUUCCUUCUGGCUGCAAUGUCUUGAUUCUCUGGGUCUUUGUGGUUCUCCCUGCAUGGCCCUGCCGGGCUCUGGUGAGGGAAGAUAAGAGUGUGCUCCAAGGCUGGCGAGGCUGGGGUUUUCGUCUGCACCUGGUGAAAGGACUGGCUCCUACAUCACCAGCUUCCCUCUGAAUAUUUUCAGAAUUCUCCUGGGAACAGUGGUGGACAACAAAAGCCUUCUGAAAGAGGUCCUCUGGCACCCCUUAUGCCAUUCCCCUGGUGUUACCUUUUGUGAUUUUCAAAUGAAAGGGCAAAGAAGUGAGGAGUAGAUGAGCCGGGAACAAAACUGGCGCUGCCCGCAGACAGUCAUGCUUUCAUUUCAGGCUCCCCCUGCUCUCCCACCCCACAUGGCCACGUGGAAGCCGCACACUAUUAGUUCCACAUAAUUGGAAAGGGUGUCAGGAUCUCCCAGACAUUAACCAGAAACAUGCUGCUCAGUUGUCACCUCCAAUGUGACUAAUGCAGCCGUGUCUUAAUUAGUCACUGCUCACUGACUGCGAUGACAGCUCCCGAGCCUGUUCCAAGGCCCCAACCUGUGAUGGGGCACUGCAGAGCAGAUUAAAGGUGAGAGGCCGCUGGGAAGGAAGGACCAGGAGUUGCCAGUUUUUCAGGUCUCUUUCCCACUGAGCACUGUGAACCCAGGUGGCCUCUGCCAAACCCCUUUGUCAACAUUGUGACAGUAGAGUCAAUAGGGUCAUAACAUUGGGACACAUUUAUUGGAGGGAGAGAAGAAAUGUGACAGGGAAAUGGUCUAGAAGAUUCCUUCACAAGUCAGCUGUUAUGUCACGGGUCCCCAUGCAGCUCCCUGGGGAAGGGGCGAUGAGGGAUGAACCGUGCCACUCUGACUGGCCUACACCUAGCAAAUGCUGCUCAGGCCAGGGUGGCCCAUCUACUGGCUAAUGUAUGACCUGUGAUCUACAGUGGCUGUCUUAUAAUCUGUGCCAGUUCCAUUUCUCCUGCAGGGGCUUUGCACUCAGAAGCAAGGAGGAGGGAGGGGGCUGGGGGCGGGAAGUAAAAGGUGAGAGACUGCCCCCUCAGUGGAAGUGCCUAGGCCUCUACCCUGAGAGCAGUAGCCAUGUCUGGGUCCUCCUCCUCUCACUGCCCACCAGCCUGAGGGCUGGCCUGCUGUCUGGGCCCCAGGAAAAAUGAGAAUCACCCCACGGUGAAGCCGGGAGAAGCAGAGAGGGCUGGGAGCUGCCCCAGAGCCUGGCCCCUGCCAGCCUCACAGUGAGGCAGCCUCCAGGCACCACCUCCCUGCUCCUGGCAUCCCCUUCCCUCCUUCCUAAGCGCCCAGGGCCCAGUGUUCAUUCGGCCUCACAGGUGGAGCACCCAGGGCCCUUUAACUCUUCAGGCCCCUCAGAAAUGAGAUGAAGACAAAAUUUACUGGCUCCGAAAUAGAACGUUUCAAAAUUGCUUUUUCAAUGCUUUUUCAAUUGCUACAGAACAUACCACCAUAUCAGUUAGGCAGCCACCACUCUUGUGUCCUUAUCCUUAUAUACGAUUGUGUUCAACAUGGGACAUGAUAUACUGCAAUAGGUUCCACAAGCUGGGGGUGGGGUCUCCAAACGUGUGUGGAGCCUGCAGAGGUAGGGACAGAGUUCCGGGCACACUUACUUUGCCGAGCAUCUAUGACUUGCAAGGAAAGACCUAAUUCGCACAUCUCACCUCCAGCACUUUCUUUUUAAGCCGCGCUUCCCAAGAAGAAUGGAAAAGUCAACUGGUGAAGAAUCGACUGCGCUGGAACAAGGGCUAACUGCUGCUAAUUCAUCUGAAGGAUAAUUGAGAAGUAUUUAUAAGUCUUCCUUCAUUAGGCCCCUAAAGGAGGCUGAACUACAUUAAGAGCCCAUCUUCCCAAUUGUGCUCUGAUACACCCAGACAGUUCUGGUUAAAAAUGAGUAACACUAAAUAAUGGGACUGAUUAUGCCAAGGUAAUUGGGGACUGACUGAUAAUGCAAAUCAGUAAGUCUUCCCUCUCCUCAAAUUCUUCAAGUAAAACACCUUUUCUGCCACCUUGAAAGCUAGUUAGCAAAUGAAAUAUUUACAACAUUAAGGACCAAUUCACUCAGGUAAGUAAAUAAUAGUGAAGCAAAUAAUUUUUCGUCUGCAUCUGAUUGUCUCAGAAGUCUCAUUUCCAAAUUAAAUACACAAGUCUCAGUUACUUCCUGGACACUCAUGGAAUAUUCAGUAAAUAAAUUUUAGAGUAGUGAUCUUGUUCAGUUGCUUUUUUUUCUUUUUUACUUAUUUUUUUGGAAACAGAGUCUCGCUCUGUCACCCAGGAGGAAGGAGGGGCCCUGCUUGAAUCAGGUUGGGAAGUGGCUGGGAACAGGGCAGAGUAGCGGUUCCAGAGCCAGAAGUUGCCAUCAGGUAAGCAUUAAACAGCACAGCAGCAGCUCCUCACUGAGAGACCCCAAGCCAAAUCUGAAGUGACCAACAGUUACCUGUGGCCAGAGGAGCACAGGAAGUCAGCGAUACUGUUCUUCUCACCAACGAAUGCUCCUUCCUUUCAUAAAGGUUGUGCCUCAGAGACUUGUUUCCAUGGAGAAGUAGCCUCACUAUAAGUGGUAUUGAAAGCCAAAAGUAUGAUUUCUGCUCCCCAAAUCCACUUGGGUAAAGUGAGGCAGGCUGGCCCACAUGUAUGCAAGCUCCC